AUGUGUCCCUUUAUUAUCAUUUUGAUUACUAAUCUCCUAAAAAAAAAAUACAAACACAUUACUUUAACGCCUCUGGAGGUGCUCUUACUGAAAAAAUCUGAUUAAAAUUUACAAUUUGAUCGAAUUUUACACAUAAAAAUUUUCGAUCAAAAGUUACAAUCCGGUCGAAAGAAAAGUUAAGGUGUUUAAAGAGCAACUAUCUAAGCUCAAGGACUUCCAACAAAAUGUAUUGGCCCAAGUAAUGUAUUAGCUUCAAAAAAAUUCUGGGCACAAAUAAUUGCAAUAAAGCUGACGGGUUGGGCUUUUAAAUUUAUAUAUUCUUUUGUCCUCCCGAUUUUAUUUAGCUAGCUAGUGAUUAAGAUAAGAGGGGGAAAAGGGGAUAGAAAAGACAUUGUAGUAGUAGAAUACUAGUGGAGCAAGCAAACAAACAAGCAAAAAGGAGCAAAGAAGCAUGUUGGGCGGAUCCAGCUAAACAGCCGGAUC
rnacentral:lncRNA from 1 species